ACGGCCAGAGAUCCCGCGGCAGCCCCGGGCUUUGAGUACCCUCUGUCCUCAGGAGAAGCAGCACUACUGCACAGCAGGCCCCCAGACAAGUCGCUGUCCUCAGCUGUGAAGCAACACGAAUGCGUCCAGAUUUUCACAGCGCGGGCUCUACCAUUGAAAACGUUGGCGAUGGGCUUUCCUCGUGGCUUAAUGGUAAAGAAUCCACCUACCAAUUCAGGAGACACAGAUUCCAUCCCUGAUCUGAGAAGACCCCAUGCGCCACAACUGCUGAGCCUGUGCUCCGGAGCCCUUGCUCCACAACAGGAGCGAUUGCGCCCCCAACUGGAGAAAAGCCCUCCUAGCAACAAAGACCCAGGACAAACAAAAAUUAAAAUUAAUGUGUCAUAUAAAAUGGUGACUUAUAAAAAAAAAGUUGGAGAUUAUA